rnacentral:rRNA from 1 species
GUCCACGCCGUAAACGAUGGAUACUAGCUGUUGGGAGCGAUCUCAGUGGCUAAGCGAAAGUGAUAAGUAUCCCACCUGGGGAGUACGUUCGCAAGAAUGAAACUCAAAGGAAUUGACGGGGGCCCCGCACAAGCGGUGGAGCAUGUGGUUUAAUUCGAUGAUACGCGAGGAACCUUACCAAGGCUUAAAUGUAGAUUGACCGGUUUGGAAACAGACUUUUCGCAAGACAAUUUACAAGGUGCUGCAUGGUUGUCGU